GAUAUGACGAUGGACAUUGCAAAGAGUGGCGAACGGGUGAGUAACACGUGGGAAACCUACCUCUUAGCAGGGGAUAACAUUUGGAAACAGAUGCUAAUACCGUAUAACAAUAGCAACCGCAUGGUUGCUACUUAAAAGAUGGUUCUGCUAUCACUAAGAGAUGGUCCCGCGGUGCAUUAGUUAGUUGGUGAGGUAAUGGCUCACCAAGACGAUGAUGCAUAGCCGAGUUGAGAGACUGAUCGGCCACAAUGGGACUGAGACACGGCCCAUACUCCUACGGGAGGCAGCAGUAGGGAAUCUUCCACAAUGGGCGAAAGCCUGAUGGAGCAACGCCGCGUGUGUGAUGAAGGGUUUCGGCUCGUAAAACACUGUUGUAAGAGAAGAAUGACAUUGAGAGUAACUGUUCAAUGUGUGACGGUAUCUUACCAGAAAGGAACGGCUAAAUACGUGCCAGCAGCCGCGGUAAUACGUAUGUUCCAAGCGUUAUCCGGAUUUAUUGGGCGUAAAGCGAGCGCAGACGGUUAUUUAAGUCUGAAGUGAAAGCCCUCAGCUCAACUGAGGAAUUGCUUU
rnacentral:rRNA from 1 species